UGUCGGGAACUCUAAGGAGACUGCCGGUGACAAACCGGAGGAAGGUGGGGAUGACGUCAAGUCAUCAUGGCCCUUACGAGUAGGGCUACACACGUGCUACAAUGGCCGGUACAGAGGGCUGCAAACUCGCGAGAGUAAGCUAAUCUCACAAAACCGGUCGUAGUCCGGAUCGCAGUCUGCAACUCGACUGCGUGAAGUCGGAAUCGCUAGUAAUCGUGAAUCAGAAUGUCACGGUGAAUACGUUCCCGGGCCUUGUACACACCGCCCGUCACACCAUGGGAGUGGGUUGCACCAGAAGUAGCUAGUCUAACCUUCGGGAGGACGGUUACCACGGUGUGAUUCAUGACUGGGGUGAAGUCGUAACAAGGUAGCCCUAGGGGAACCUGGGGCUGGAUCACCUCCUUAAACG
rnacentral:sRNA from 1 species